rnacentral:rRNA from 1 species
AUUGAACGCUGGCGGCAGGCCUAACACAUGCAAGUCGAGCGGAUGAGUGGAGCUUGCUCCAUGAUUCAGCGGCGGACGGGCGAGUAAUGCCUAGGAAUCUGCCUGGUAGUGGGGGACAACGAUUCGAAAGGAACGCUAAUACCGCAUACGUCCUACGGGAGAAAGUGGGGGAUCUUCGGACCUCACGCUAUCAGAUGAGCCUAGGUCGGAUUAGCUAGUUGGUGAGGUAAAGGCUCACCAAGGCGACGAUCCGUAACUGGUCUGAGAGGAUGGUCAGUCACACUGGAACUGAGACACGGUCCAGACUCCUACGGGAGGCAGCAGUGGGGAAUAUUGGACAAUGGGCGAAAGCCUGAUCCAGCCAUGCCGCGUGUGUGAAGAAGGUCUUCGGAUUGUAAAGCACUUUAAGUUGGGAGGAAGGGCAGUAAGUUAAUACCUUGCUGUUUUGACGUUACCAACAGAAUAAGCACCGGCUAACUUCGUGCCAGCCGCCGCCGUAACAC